CCAGAAAAGUUAAUGGUUAGCUUUUAAUAGCAGCCUCAAAGUGAGCUGCUAGUGGGCCCGUCUCGUUAUGUAGAGGGUGAGAGACGUGGUGACCGCGAGACUGUCAAAUUGCGGGGACCUCCUGAGAGCCCAAACUACCAAGCGGCGCACCGAAAGGGCGUCGUGGCCGGGGUAAUGACCUAGGGUAUGGUAACAACGUUUGGGAUUGGACGAUCCGCAGCCAAGUCCUACGGCCUCUUUCGAGAGGCUAUGGAUGCUGUUCAACGACUAUAUGGCAGUCGGUUUAGGCGCCAAAGCGCCUAGGCUUAAGAUAGAGUCUGGCCGCCCCGAGAGGGGUCC
rnacentral:ncRNA from 1 species